rnacentral:lncRNA from 1 species
AUUCAUGGCUGGAAUUCAAACAAAGCCAAAGCUCAAAAUGGAAAUCUUCCUAGAAUGAAAAUGAGCAUCUUUUUUGUUUGCCCAAAAGUGGUAAAAAAUUAAUGCAUCAUUCUCUCUCCUUUCUACACACCAUUUUCGUUUCCUUCACCAACACACACCUUCAUAAUCUUUCUUCCUCUCCUCAAUACCAAGAAUGAGCACCCAAGAGACUCCAUUUGAAGUUGCAACUCCAUUCAAGACAAUAAACCCACACUACUACUACUUCAACUCAACCCAAUCUUCCAUUUUUUUUAAGCUCUUGUGCAAAAAGCGAAAAUAACAUUAUACCAUUCAACUCAACCACU